CCUACGGGAGGCAGCAGUGGGGAAUUUUGGACAAUGGGCGCAAGCCUGAUCCAGCAAUGCCGCGUGAGUGAAGAAGGCCUUCGGGUUGUAAAGCUCUUUUGUCAGGGAAGAAACGGUGGUUCCUAAUACGGACUACUAAUGACGGUACCUGAAGAAUAAGCACCGGCUAACUACGUGCCAGCAGCCGCGGUAAUACGUAGGGUGCAAGCGUUAAUCGGAAUUACUGGGCGUAAAGCGUGCGCAGGCGGUUAUAUAAGUCAGAUGUGAAAUCCCCGGGCUCAACCUGGGAACUGCAUUUGAGACUGUAUGGCUAGAGUGUGUCAGAGGGGGGUAGAAUUCCACGUGUAGCAGUGAAAUGCGUAGAUAUGUGGAGGAAUACCGAUGGCGAAGGCAGCCCCCUGGGAUAACACUGACGCUCAUGCACGAAAGCGUGGGGAGCAAACAGGAUUAGAUACCCUGGUAGUCCACGCCCUAAACGAUGUCUACUAGUUGUCGGGACUUAAUUGUCUUGGUAACGCAGCUACGCGUGAGUAGACCGCCGUCGGGAGGUACGGUCGCGAGAAGUUAAAACGUUAAAAGGUAAAGUUAGUACGGCGUGAGACGUAGACCGACGGACGACGACGAGGGAGGAGG
rnacentral:rRNA from 1 species